GACAGAGGGUGCAAGCGUUGUUCGGAAUUACUGGGCGUAAAGGGCUCGUAGGCGGCCAACUAAGUCGGACGUGAAAUCCCCAGGCUUAACCUGGGAACUGCAUCCGAUACUGGAUGGCUUGAAUUCGGGAGAGGGAUGCAGAAUUCCAGGUGUAGCGGUGAAAUGCGUAGAUAUCUGGAGGAAUACCGGUGGCGAAGGCGGCAUCCUGGACCGAGAUUGACGCUGAUGAGCGAAAGCUAGGGGAGCAAACGGG
rnacentral:rRNA from 1 species